AGAUAGAGCCCCAUCUCCGAAACGUCGUUUUACGUUUUUUACGUUUUAUUACUAGACGAUGGAUAAUAUCCAAGUAAAUUUUUAUUCAAUUGACUCUUCACCAUCGUCAAGAAGUUUUAGAUUUGACAUGUCAAUGAUGUUUCUUCUUACCCAAGAACACUGCACUUAUGCUCACUCUUCUCAUCUUAUCUGUGAUGUGUUCCCAGGACCUGUGAAUAAUUUCCUUGGGGUUUAUUUGAAGGAAAUACUGUAAAUAACUGACACCUCCAGAAGACCUGCAAUUAUGUAUACAAGAUAGUAAGAUAUGAAGUUCUUACAGUGAAAAUGAUUAAGCCUGUGAACACAGCCAGAUAUACAACAAAGAAAGCAAACAUCAAACUGGGUUUUACAGAUCUUGUCAAAUUUAAACAGCCUCAUCAUUGCCAUCAUCAUCAUCAGCAGCAGCAGUAGUAGUAGUAGUAAUGAUUUAACUAGCAGUAGUAAUUGUGGCAGUAGAGGUAAUACCAUUAUAAAAUUGCCAUUAAGGGUUUAAUUAUGUUUGUUCAUAAUGAAGGGCUGUGCAGCAAUUCUGUAGAACUGUUCUCAGAAUAACAUUGAUAUUUCUAUUGACAUUGUUAUUUUUACUAAAGUAAUCGUUAUUUAGGUACUGAAGACAAAGUAUUUGCAAUACGCAUUGUCUUCAUUAAUGCAUUUCAUUCAAGUGACCAUUGCUGGGACUAGGCAUUUCUGUAUCUCAGAAAAAUUUUGAAGGUUAUGUCCUCUUCUAAGAAAUUGUAAUUUAAAAAACCCACAUCUUAUAUAUAUUAAAUAAAAGAAAUAGUUGUUCUUCUGUUCAGUACAUGUUCAGCUUUGUAUAGAAUGAAAUUAAUGUAUUUCACAAGAGCAUUACUUGCUUUCUGUUUGCCACUACAUUGCAUAUUAAUUUCUUUGCAAUAUUACUCACAGCAUUCAGUAUUAGUCCAGUGUUGAUUUUAAUUUAGUUUAAUGAGUAGUCAGAAAACAGCUGUCAGUUAAUUCAAUAGCUGAUAUUUUUAUUAUUUGUGAGUGACAGUUCAUUCCCUUCUAGCGACAGUCAUUUUGUUCAAUUGGUAACUUGAUCGUUUGAAUCUAUAGGUUAAUUAUGGAAUCAGUCACGGAUUUAACAUCAAACAUAUCCUUGUUGCAGGAAUGUUAUUUGUGCGUUCGUUGUUACAUUACCUAUUUAGUAGAUACAUUAAUAAACCAAGAAACAAACAACAUUUAUUGAUUAAAAUAUUGAAAGGAAUUAUCAUUCUCAAAAGAGUGAACUCUUAAUUUGAAGCAUGGCAAGGGAGCAUAUUUGUUGCAGGUACAAGUAAAAUACUGUUCUGGAAGAGGUCAGCUUAAUUAAAGCCUUACUUACCACUUACAUGCAACCACAUGCUUCCACCACCAUGUUCGGCAAUGUUGCAUGGGUAAUCGUUUGAUUGUUGUCCACAUAGAGCAUUUGAAGUGAUGAUAGCUUUGUAGGUGAACAGCAUGGUACCAAUUCUAAUUGCCUGGCACUUGAACUAUGUAGAUACAGCAGUCUCUAUAAAGAAAAAUUGAUACAUUAAAACUCAGAAUUGUUCUAACAUAUUCAUUGUCUGAAUGAUCAAUUUUAAUUUUUUUUAAUACUGGUAGGAACAUUUGUACAAAGUUUAUCGGCAAGUGAAGCAGUUUCGUGUACAUAUUUUAUAACAUUCCAUUACCAGUUUUUAUUAAUGUUAUAUUCAUGCAGUAAAUAUAUGUAGAAAAUAAAAUAAGUCUCUUACAUUUAAAAUCCUAAAAAGUAUUGAAAAAGAUCACAAAUUUUAUUGUUGAAGCUCUUAUAUAUCUUAACCCUUAUCAUCUGUUCAUUACUUUACUCUAAAAUACUAACCCUCCUGUCAGUUUAGCUUCCCCCUACACCACAGUAUUUAUACUGUUUAUGAACAAAAAAAAAGGCAAGAGUAAUUACCAUGGAGUCAGACCCACUGAUUAAAGGAAGGAAGGAAAUACAAGUGUUUCCAUCCUUACUCUUAAAUUUGCUUUAAUAACUUGAUACCUACCUCUCAUUGUACAAGUAUAUAAUGCGGAUGAAAAACGUGUUGCUGUCCUCUGUUAACAGUUUGCCCAGGAGGUUCCGCUAUGUGUAUUUUCUUUUCUCUGUCCCGCUCUUUACAUUGUUAAUUAUUCAUAUUUUCUGUAAGCAUUUUAUUUAUGUAGACACACAUGUAGCUGUAAUAAAAUAGGCACUAGCUAACUAACAUGUGGAGCAGAGUCCUUGUGAAGUUAGUCUAGUCAAUAAGUUACCCAA